GAUGAACGCUAGCUACAGGCUUAACACAUGCAAGUCGAGGGGAAACGGCAUCGAAAGCUUGCUUUUGAUGGGCGUCGACCGGCGCACGGGUGAGUAACGCGUAUCCAACCUGCCCAUCACUUGUGAAUAACCUUGCGAAAGUAAGACUAAUGCCCAAUGACAUCCCACGAAGGCAUCCGAAUGGGAUUAAAGAUUUAUCGGUGAUGGAUGGGGAUGCGUCUGAUUAGCUUGUUGGCGGGGUGACGGCCCACCAAGGCAACGAUCAGUAGGGGUUCUGAGGGUAAGGUCCCCCACAGUGGAACUGAGACACGGUCCAAACUGCUACGGGAGGCAGCAGUGAGGAAUAUUGGUCAAUGGGCGAGAGCCUGAACCAGCCAAGUAGCGUGCAGGAUGACGGCCCUAUGGGUUGUAAACUGCUUUUAUAAGGGAAUAAAGUGGGUCACGUGUGACUUUUUGCAUGUACCUUAUGAAUAAGGACCGGCUAAUUCCGUG
rnacentral:rRNA from 1 species